rnacentral:rRNA from 1 species
AGAGUUUGAUCCUGGCUCAGAUUGAACGCUGGCGGCAGGCCUAACACAUGCAAGUCGAACGGUAGCACAGAGAGCUUGCUCUCGGGUGACGAGUGGCGGACGGGUGAGUAAUGUCUGGGAAACUGCCUGAUGGAGGGGGAUAACUACUGGAAACGGUAGCUAAUACCGCAUAACGUCGCAAGACCAAAGAGGGGGACCUUCGGGCCUCUUGCCAUCAGAUGUGCCCAGAUGGGAUUAGCUAGUAGGCGGGGUAAUGGCCCACCUAGGCGACGAUCCCUAGCUGGUCUGAGAGGAUGACCAGCCACACUGGAACUGAGACACGGUCCAGACUCCUACGGGAGGCAGCAGUGGGGAAUAUUGCACAAUGGGCGCAAGCCUGAUGCAGCCAUGCCGCGUGUGUGAAGAAGGCCUUCGGGUUGUAAAGCACUUUCAGCGGGGAGGAAGGCGGUACGGUUAAUAACCGUGCUGAUUGACGUUACCCGCAGAAGAAGCACCGGCUAACUCCGUGCCAGCAGCCGCGGUAAUACGGAGGGUGCAAGCGUUAAUCGGAAUUACUGG